UUGUACAAGCAGCCUGGAUAAGAUCGAUCGAACUGAUUUUUUCUGUUCGUCGAACGCCAGGGGAAAGCAACGAUCCAGAACGGAAGUCGAUUAAGAAUUCUUCUGCCUUCGGGCUAGCCCUCUUUUUCAAGCGUCGAGUAGAGCGGUUUAAAAUCGGCUCUCGCCGUAGAUACGAUGUUUUGCCUCGAUAUUCGCCCCUUGAUAACUUUCCGUCGAGAGAUAUGGAUCGACAAAGAUCGAGGAUACAGCGCGACUUAUGAUUUGUCUUUUGGCAGGAACGGAAGCACGUGGUUGUGUUUUAUCCGGGGGCGGUAUUGAUUGGAUAUUUUUGUAAUACUCUCCUACAGCGGACGUUGAUUUAAACCCGCCAUCUGUUUAUUGAUAUUCUUUGGACGAUUCGGAGAUCGAAUUACCAAUGGAAUACUCGAAGACCAGUCUGUCAAAGGAAUCAUCGAUAUUCCGAAAUGACCGAUUUCUUUGUCAAGUAUCCCCGCGUCGUCGAAUCUGUGGAAUAGUAUCCUCGACGCAACAACAGCCCCUUCUUCAACGUGCAGCAAUUACCUUCCCCCUUAAGACAGAGUAAACCGCUCUUUAAACCGUCCCUCGAGUACUCCUUUCCGUCCAUCGAGACGGUCCUGUUUCUCCUAUAGACUUGUCCUCGCGCGUUUCUAUCCUCUUCACAAGGGGAGACGGAGUAACGGCUCUUGGGGGUGGAUCGGCAAAAAAAGAGACAGCAGAGCGAGUUCUCGUCUCCCGUGAGGGAAGGACAGAAAGCGAGGUAGCACGAGGGCCGGAAGAAGGAGAGAAGAGAAAAGACGAUGGUGGUUGGUGAACGCGAGAAAGGUAGGGUAUUAACCGUGAAGAAACGAGGACCGGCUUUUCACGGUGGUGUCUCGAAGGCAUAGCGGGGUCUCUGCUUCCGACUGCAGAUACAUUGCGACAUGGAACCGGGGGUUAGUGUAGGGGGUUUCGUGGUGGCGCGAGAGGGGCGAAGGGACCGGCGACGAGGGUGGUGGGUUGCUCGGGGCUCGAAAGGGGGAUGAAAUGCGCCGCGACGCGCUGCGGCGAAGCCAGACGGAGACGGACUGAGUUUCUGCUCCGCAUCCGCAGCAUCCUCCCUCUCUAUCCUCUCUGUCCUUCUCCAGCCCUUUCUCUAUCUAGUUUUCUUUCUUCGUAUCCCCUUCCUACUCCUUCGUCUCGUCGUUCACCCUCUUCCUUCUUUCCCUCUAUCAUUCCUUCGUCUCUCUCUCUCUCUCUCUCUUCCACCCGGUUAACUUUCGUUCCGUCCUUUCCCUUCUCCACUCUGAUCCUCCUCUUCCGCGUUUAACGUGUCUUCUAUUUCCACGCGCCCGGCAUUACGCUCUCUCCUUCAUCCCUUGCGAUCCUCCUCUCUUUCUGCCUCGCUGUUUCUGCCUUUCUCCAUUUCACCCCCCGACUCAAACCACCGCGGUCCAGUCGAGUGUCGGCCCGUGAACCGUGCAGUUCGCCUCGUGGCUCGUUCGCACGACGGCUGUGUGACGAUCAAAUUGUCCAUUCGGCUGGUAGGAACGCGCGCGACUCGACAGCCGGCAUCCUUGCAAACACCACCUACAUAGAUCACGGCAGGAUCUAAGAAGAGUCGGGCAUAAGAGGAGAUUCUAUCGGCCGGUUGGACAGCGAGUGGCGAGAACCAGCGUAGAAGCCAGCAACCGGAAUCCACGUGGUGUUGACGUGAAAGGUGAAGCCGCGGUGCAGCCAAAAGGAAAACCAAGUCCACAAAGAGAAGAAGUCAGUUAUUUCGGUGUUAAUUAAGUGACGACGUCCUCACAUAGACGCGCGCAUACAUGGUCAUCAGGAGCGGUGCCUAAUUGGCACGGAAACAACACGGCCAUCUUAAUUGGUUAAUUUGCGAAGAGGCCCGGGAACCCAUGCGUCACGGCACGCUCGACUAUCGCAGGAUGCAGUUACCUAUGGCCAUCUUGGAAUAAUCUUCCUGCCCUUUUCUUAUAUUACUUCCCCCCGAUCGGGCCGGAUCCGGUGAACCAAGGACUACCAUACCGUCUUAACGAUAAUUCGAACAACCUUCCUCCUUUUCUAUGACAAGUUCCUGCAAUACGUGACCAAAUUCGCGACCAUGACCAGCGGACAGAGGAACAAGUCUGUAGUACAUCCGGAACAGCGGUAUGCCUACAUGCCCUGUCCGCUCUAUGACACCGGCAACGCGCAGUAUUUUUCAAGAAAUAAGACACGAUCCAACUUGUAGUAUUCCACAAAGGCUUCGAAACCGAUCGGAGCACCCAACGCUGAUCGAAAAUUUCGGUGCAUUUCCUCGAGCAUCGUCUAACGAAAGCGGCGCAAAAGAGAAGUCGGUGGAGCGGGCAGGCAACGCAACGUCAUCGGGCCUGGUCAGCGUCGCGACGCCUCGUGCACGCUCAGUGCGAGGCUGUCGGUCGCGUGGCGAAGCUACCCUCGCUCUCCGGCAAGUUAAUCGACGAGGACACGUGGGUCGCGCGUCAAAUCGAUCGAUCCUAUCCGCGAUCGAGCUUCGACGGAAACACAGGCCGAGGCAACACGGUGUACGUACGUGCACGACGAGGAAGAAUCACGGUGACCAGGGUCGGAGAUAACGAGCGUUGGCUGACAAAAGACCUUGACGCUGCGCGACACACACACACACACACCACCACCACACCCGUCCACCCCUGAAUAUUUCAAUACCGCAUCGAUCUAGCGCAUAGCCGACACACGUGUGUCUCGCGAUCGCGACUCUCUGUGUGACUUCUCCGUUUGAUUUGUAACUCCGCAACUCGGUUUACCUGUGCGUCGCCUGUCCGUCAACCACGCAGCGGACUAAUCAGCAGGUACUACCUCGCGAGGACAAGUUCACCAACCAAGUAUCUCGUCAUGUUUUGUGAAUUGUGGCGUGGAAUUAUUAUGGUCGAACGAACGAUUAACGGUGCCACUCUAGGCUCGUAAAUGUGCUCGUGCAUCUGUUCCGCUGUGUUCCAAUCCCUGUAGACCGCAGUGAAGUAGACCCGUGUACACCUGGACAGCCAUUCGACGCCUCCGUUCCUACUUUACCUCGAAAUCCUAGUAUAUAACUAUAUGUACUUUGAUCGUCGAGUUUCACGAUCAUCGACUCGACUAUUCUUGUUUCGUGUUUACCACGAUAUAUUAACAAAGUACCGAUUGCCAGGAAUCUUAUCCUUCUGGUUCACUGUUUUUACACGCUUCGCUCUGUAUUUUUGAGUAGACGUAGAAGCAAAUCAUAGUAGUAAGAUUAAUGCCAGUAAGCUGGUCCUGGUCACUCAUCCUGUUCGUUAUUUGAAUGCGUAGUUGUUGGAAGGUUCAACGUGGACCAUGUAUGACGGCACUGAACGUCUUAACGAUCGUUCUUCGUAGCCGAUAACCGAUAAUUGUUGCUUGCUGUUCGCUUUCCAUGUUGAGAAGGCCGGCGUGUAUGCGCACGGUGUCUUUCUUUGACAGACAAACGAAAGCAACCGAAGGUGGCUCUUCGUUACGAUCGCGAUCGUACAGUCGUGUACCUUUUUACUCACAGCGAAGCGUCGAGCUCGAACAACCUCGAAUUAAGACGCGGCCCCUUCUUAACUCUCGACUUGCACGAAAAAACACGGUUCGUUUUGCCUCGCGACUUUCUCCAACCUAACGUUGUAACGCGACGUACCGAACUGUUACCCAUCGACCGCAGACCAGUUCGUAAAACACCGCGCCAAGUUCUAGGAAGAAGAAGAUCCUUCGUUCGCGAUGUUCGUUACUUCUGCCCCGGUUGAACGGAAUUGUAAGAUCGAGCGUAAUCGCGCGUUUCAAUGCUUCUCUUUUGUAUGCGCAAAAGGUAACUAGCUCGCAAUGUCAAAGGUAUUUUGUCCGAUGGAGCACAAGGAAUACGCGUUUCGCGAAGAAAAGGACUCGAUUCUCUUCUUCGCGCGACGAAACAUUCGCUAGGGAGACUGUGACAUCGUUUUUAGAAAGUCAAAGGGAAGCGGACGAAUGCUGCUUCUUAAGGAGCUAAAUGUUUCGAUUAAAAAAUAGAAAUUGCUGCACGGAUAAUUGUUCGCCGUAUAUCCUUUAACCUAUUCGCAAUGACAGCAGUCGCGCGCAGUUUGUAAGACGGUACGAAGUACGACAGCGUUUAAACGCGUAGUUGGCUGAGCGCAACCCGAACUACGUGCAUUAUCGCAAAAACUGAAUAACGUUUAUCUGUUACGAUUAGCAUAUUCGGAGGCAAAGUAAAAAAUGUUGUCUCGCGAGCGAAAAGAAUUCUGCUUACGGAGGAUUCAACGUUUAAACUCGAAUAAUAAACUUUGAAUCUUCCACAACGACCUCGUCCCUAUCUGGCACAGUUUUCAGGAAACAUGAAACGGUAUCUUCGACUAAAGUUUGUCAAUUUCUUAUCCCCAGUAUCCUCGUUUCGAACAAAUCGGUCUUACACGAUCGACGAAAAUUAUUCAAACAGCUGCAACGGAUCGAACCUGUUAACAAAUAUUGUAGGAGCCAGGUUCGCGCAACUACGAUCGACGUUGCAGGUCGAGUCGCAGGUAUCGAGCUCUCGAACGCCUCUGUCGUUUCCCGUUUCACCGACUGCGCCGUAAACAGAGAACGCUAUCGUGACAAGACAGUCUUCCUCGCGGCUGCGGCAGAUCAAUCGAAAGGCUCGAGUAUUAAAGUCAGCGUCGCAGGGUCGGCCAAACAGUCCUCCCCUAGCAUGGAGGGCACGUCCGCGUUGCCUGUACCUCGACGUCACGGGUCACGACGUGUCGCGACGUAGUGUUCGUAUCAGGAAAUCCAACCACGGUCUCUCGAUUCGCUUGGAAAUCGUCGUCUCGCGAUAUUGGAAAUUUCGCGCGAGUCGUGAACGAUUCGGUGCUGGUCGAAUGACGCGUGAGACGGAUCGCGCGAGUUUCCGACGAGUUUCGACAGGCAAACGAGGAUCGAAGGGUCGCCGUUGGAUCCAACAUGGGUAACGUGUCUUUAUUAGAACGCAAACGAGGAUCCGCGAUUCUCGCGUGACACGCGAUACCGUUAUUGCCGAGGUGUAAUUAUAAUUCUAGACCUUGAGGUUUGUUGGUGAGCUAAAUCGAGCGUGGUUAGAUCGUCUUCGCGGCACAGGUUGGCUCGACCAACUUUGUAAAUCGUUGCGUUCUUCUCGUGAUCUCAUUCCGCAUGAUCUUGCGCUUUUUUCGCUUAUGAUCGGACGAUACUCGGACGAGGGCGGGAAAUGCUAGGUUCAGGUGGACGUACGAUGGUAACUCGCCAACUGGACGGAGAAAGAGAUCGGGAAAUUAGUUAUCUUGGAGCACGCCAAGCAAGGCGGUAGGGUUUUCGAUUAAACGAGAUUCGUGGCGCGUACGAACAGUCGAUGUAAUCGCGUUUCUUUCAGCGACCGAACUCGAGACGAAGUUGUCGCGUGGCUACCGUGCCGAAAGAAAAGUAGAAGAAAAGCUGUGCAUGACGCUAGUGGGUAAUUCCGAAGGACGAGUAAAGUAGCACGAAUAAAAGUUUACGCUCUGCCGACGAUUGGUUAGACACGAGAAAUCCUCGUUUUCGAAGUUCGCUGGGAGAACGACGAAAGCGACGGCAAAGCGAAUCUAUUCCUCUUAACAAACGAAAUGACUCGAACGUAUCAGGAUGCGUCGAGUUCCUUCAAAAUUCGGUCCUUUCCUAAUUAAUCGGGUUUCCUCGCGGCAAGUUUUCGAAAUCGAAGGUUCAACGAACAAGUGUAAUCGUUCAGAUCGAUCGUUGUUCUCGCGACCGAAGCUCGACGUCGACGGUUCUUUGGCUUAUCGAAAGAAUAUCGACGAGAACGUGCGGGUCUGGACUCGUUUCAUUCUCUCGUGAAAAGUGAACGAAUAAAAAAAAAAAAGAAACACGUCGGAAAGUAAAGACGGAAGAAACCGGAAUCGCGUACGGGGUACUGAGAGAAGAAACACGGUUAAACGUAGGGAAGCUGCCUAGGAACGCUUUCGUGAUCGUCGAACACCGUCACCACCACCACCGGCGCUGCUUUCCAUACGCUGUAAAGCUCCAAAAAACCAACUACUCCUUGGACUUGAAAACAUCUCGAAACGAUUACAUCGCUCGGCCACCACGUGCUACGGUGAACAGAAAA